AGGCCCAUAGCCAAGUGGUUAAGGCAACGGACUUUGACUCCGUUAUUCGUUGGUUCGAAUCCAGCUGGGCCUGCCA
rnacentral:tRNA from 1 species